rnacentral:rRNA from 1 species
UACGUAGUGGGCUAGCGUUGUCCGGAUUUAUUGGGCGUAAAGAGCGUGUAGGCGGCCAGGUAGGUCUGCUGUGAAAACUCGAGGCUCAACCUCGAGACGUCGGCGGAAACCAUCUGGCUAGAGUCCGGAAGAGGAGAGUGGAAUUCCUGGUGUAGCGGUGAAAUGCGCAGAUAUCAGGAAGAACACCCGUGGCGAAGGCGGCUCUCUAGGACGGUACUGACGCUGAGACGCGAAAGCGUGGGGAGCGAACAGG